rnacentral:lncRNA from 1 species
AGAAGCAGGUUUGUUUUUUUAGUUACUUUUAUUUUGUCUUUAGUUACAUAUUAGAAAGAGUAUUCAUGAUAAAACAUUUUGAGAAGGGUUAGAUAGUUACUAUCUUAUCUACAAUUUCAAAUAAAUUUUCAAUAAUUGACUUCAAGCUAGAUAUCUCCUAAAAAAAUGUAUCAGUUUUCUAUCAAUGUUACAAAUGAUGAGACAUUUUUCUGUGAUGAGGUUUUAACCGUUAUUCAGGAAUGGUUGGAAUUUUGGUGUUCUAAGAAACAAUUUAUUUUACAUAAGCAUGUAUGUGGUCGAAUCAUUUUCUGUGUAUGCAGCCUGAGCCUGAAAAGGAUUUCAGGUAUUAUGCUUGUUUAGUACCUGUACAUUUACUUAAAAUAAUUUUUUUUGUUUUGAUUUUUGUCAUGUAGAAUACUGCCUUGGUC